rnacentral:rRNA from 1 species
AUCAGAUGUGCCCAGAUGGGAUUAGCUAGUAGGUGGGGUAACGGCUCACCUAGGCGACGAUCCCUAGCUGGUCUGAGAGGAUGACCAGCCACACUGGAACUGAGACACGGUCCAGACUCCUACGGGAGGCAGCAGUGGGGAAUAUUGCACAAUGGGCGCAAGCCUGAUGCAGCCAUGCCGCGUGUGUGAAGAAGGCCUUCGGGUUGUAAAGCACUUUCAGCGGGGAGGAAGGCGAUAAGGUUAAUAACCUUGUCGAUUGACGUUACCCGCAGAAGAAGCACCGGCUAACUCCGUGCCAGCAGCCGCGGUAAUACGGAGGGUGCAAGCGUGAAUCGGAAUUACUGGGCGUAAAGCGCACGCAGGCGGUCUGUUAAGUUGGAUGUGAAAUCCCCGGGCUUAACCUGGGAACUGCAUUUCAAACUGACAGGCUAGAGUCUUGUGUAAGGGGGUAGAAUUCCAGGUGUAGCGGUGAAAUGCGUAGAGAUCUGGAGGAAUACCGGUGGCGAAGGCGGCCCCCUGGACAAAGACUGACGCUCAGGUGCGAAAGCGUGGGGAGCAAACAGGAUUAGAUACCCUGGUAGUCCACGCUGUAAACGAUGUCGACUUGGAGGUUGUGCCCUUGAGGCGUGGCUUCCGGAGCUAACGCGUUAAGUCGACCGCCUGGGGAGUACGGCCGCAAGG